AUUUCAAGGUAAUGGGUAAUACUUUUCACCAGAAAUGCAAGGAACUCAGAAAACAUGGAAAUAUUUUAAUUAAAUACAUAAUAUAAAAAAAAAUWAAUGUUAAAUUUUGUAGCACUAGAAGUGACCCUGAACCUGGCAGAAAGCUGGUCAGAGUUCACAGGAAGCUGUAUGGGACUAAAAACAGGCWUUUCUKAAAGAAAACCUGUUGGAUUGCAGAAUGGGAGUGAGGUUCAUUUUCCAGCAGGUCAGUGGCUCUGAAUAUACAGUCAGAGCCAUAAUGAUUAGAUCAAACGGUCAGAUCAAAGCAUAUUCAUGUGCUAAAAUGGCAAACUGAAAGUGUAGACCUGAAUCCCAUUGAGAAUCUGUGGCAAGACUUGAGAAUCACGGUCCAAGGAUUCUCUCCAUCCUUUUUCAAAGARCCUGAGCUGCUCUGCAAAGGAGAAUGGGCCAAAAUCUGCCUGAACGUGGAGAGCUGAAAGAAACGUACCUUAAAAGACUGUAAUAGCAGGAAAAUGAUUUUUUUUUCCAUCUCAGAGGAACUGAAUGCAUGAAUGUUUAAAUGUUCUAUCAGUUUUCUUCCACUUUGUAAUUGCUGUAUGCUCCACUUUGUACUCUACGACAUAAAACCAAAUUAAAUAAGUUGGUAUUUGUGGCUGUAAUGUAACAGAAAUAAGGGAUGUGAAUAUUUUGCCAAGGCACUGUAUGAUAUUUUAGUCCAUAUGGCAUCAGAACCGUCAACUCUAUGUUGCAUUCGUAUCCAUAUUUUGGAAGAUUAAAGUUUUAUUCACUUUAACAAUUAAAACUGUGUAUUUUAAACAUUUGAGUAUAUAUUAGGUAAUUUAUAUGAACAACAGUAAAAAUUGCCUCAAAAUUGUGGAAAACAUAAAUCUUUCCAGGGUCUAAAUCAGUUUUACCAGUUAAAUCUGUAGGCAGAUGACUUGUUGACUUACAUACAAUAAGACUUAAGCCUCCCACAGUCCUAAUUUGACACUUAUCAGUUCCCAAAAUUGAUAAAACAAUUAAAAACUUGUAAAAAAAACAAAAAAACAUGCAGGGUAACAAGCUCACACUGGGUCAACUCGAGCCAUUUAGGAUGCGAGGUAACCUCUUAAUUUUAUGUUUCUUCUGCUUGGAAGUAAUGUUAAUAUUUCAGUUUGGCCCAGCCAGUUUUGACUUAAAUCUAUGGAAGCAUCCACAAAUAUUUUCAGUAUUAGAAGUGAGAAUGGUUUCACUGAUAUAAUGGAAAAAAGGCAWUCUYRUAAAUGAUGGAAAAGGGUGUAAAUGUUUAUUUUCCACAAGCAAUAUAAAAAUAAUAGAAUGUACCUUUUGUACUUUAUUUUUUGUUGCAUUUUCGGUAACACCAGUUUUAGUUCCAGUCAGAAAUAAACUUCUUGAUUAAAUGAAAAAUAACUUGAACUCYGAGCCCAUCAGGCAGUUGGAUGAUAAUUUUGAGCCCACAUUUCUGUAAAGAUGAAAAGUAUCAAAAUGAUUCUUAACGUUAUCCCCACAGAYGGGUUUCCACAACCUCUUCACGUCUGUGCUGGUCUCACUCGCAUCGCCCUCGACAUUUCUCCCUCUCACUCGGAUAAGGCUAGCAGGUUAAAAAUACACCGACUGUCAGGAUCAGACGUAAAAAUAGACAUGAUUACGGACCAUAUAAAUAACAUAAAUGGAUAGUGGUUUCUGUCAUGUUACACAGACAGUUCCUCACAUGUAACAAUUACCUAAGAAUAGGUUACUAAUUCAGCAUUUCCUGCCAUGGGCUUAUAUUUCUACAGCACAUUUUAGAGAUGCGACUGGGCCCACCUUCCACAGAACAAUCUGUGAGGGAUAUCUGUUUUUAUACCAAAAUGAAGUCAAAUAGCGCCUGACAUCUGUCACUACAGACCUGGUUAUCAGGGGAAAUAUUGAAACAUUAGUGGGUGGAAAAUSCUGUUCUGAGCUCAGCGUGCGUUGAAGUGUGCUUAUAGAAAUUUUUACAAAGACUUGACAGUUGUGCAGGAGACUCKGUAUCUGCACAAAAUGACUUUCUGCAUUAUGCCGUAUUUUCAUGGGGCCUGGAGGAUGUCAGAUCGAACCGCGGCAGCGCAGUCACAUUGUGGCAUGCCUGAACAAACAAAACGGUCCAAAUUCUCUCUUUCAGGCACACUAGGAGAUCAGAUAUCGCUCAGAAAUUAUGAAACUAGACCUUUUAAUACGGUUUUGGAAACCAGCCUCUAAUUUUCAGGCUCUAUUAUGCACUCCUGACUCCAUAGGAAAUCUACGCUGAAUUAAUCAAAUCAAUUAAAAACCAGAAGCACAGAAAGCUCUCUCGCAAUUAAAAAAAAGAAAGGCGGAAGAGAUGUGGCUCGUGACUGUGAGCAGACGCUCCACUGUUGUUUACAGAUGUCUUGUUUAUUCCUAUACGGAGAUACUGAAUAUGUUAUCCGUCUUUGCUGAAAUAUUUUUCAAGAGCUGCUCUGUUCAUCGAUUUUCUCUUUCUUUGCAUCACAACGGUUGUUUUACACAAAACAAUGACCAUCCAGACUCAAUCAGGAUUGUUUAACGGCAUUUCGUUUGCGGAACUGAGRUCUGGGGCGAAGUCGUUUCCCAGUAAACGAGGUGAAAGCCGCAGAGUUUUGACAAUCUUCUCAUGCACACUUUUUGAGUUCUUCAGAAUAAUCAUCUACUUUUAAUACGACACAUUAUUUAGAAGAUGUCAUUGUUUUGUCUGUUGAAAGCUCUUCUCUUUACAUGUCCCUAAUCUACUAGCGCAUGAAUUAAAUUUUAGAGAAUGGUUUUGUGGUUGGGGCGGAUGAGAAAAAAACAAAACAAAAAA